rnacentral:rRNA from 1 species
AACGAACGUUAGCGGCGCGCUUAACACAUGCAAGUCGCACGAGAAAGGGCUUCGGCCCCGGUACAGUGGCGCACGGGUGAGUAACACGUGGGUAACCUGCCCUCGAGCGGGGGAUAACAUUCCGAAAGGAGUGCUAAUACCGCAUAAGACCACGACCUCGAAAGAGGACGAGGUAAAAGCUGGCCUCUGUAUACACGCCAGCACUUGAGGAUGGGCCCGCGGCGCAUCAGCUAGUUGGUAGGGUAACGGCCUACCAAGGCGAAGACGCGUAGCUGGUCUGGGGGGAUGAUCAGCCACACUGGAACUGGGACACGGUCCAGACUCCUACGGGAGGCGGCAGUGGGGAAUCUUGCGCAAUGGGCGAAAGCCUGACGCAGCGACGCCGCGUGGGUGAUGAAGGCCUUCGGGUUGUAAAGCCCUGUGGGGAGAGACGAAUAAGUGCAGGCCAAUACCCUGCAUGAUGACGGUAUCUCCUUAGCAAGCACCGGCUAACUCUGUGCCAGCCGCCGCCGUAACAC